rnacentral:rRNA from 1 species
UAUGGGGGGACCAUCCUCCAAGGCUAAAUACUCCUGACUGACCGAUAGUGAACCAGUACCGUGAGGGAAAGGCGAAAAGAACCCCGGCGAGGGGAGUGAAAAAGAACCUGAAACCGUGUACGUACAAGCAGUGGGAGCACCCUUUGGGGUGUGACUGCGUACCUUUUGUAUAAUGGGUCAGCGACUUAUAUUCUGUAGCAAGGUUAACCGAAUAGGGGAGCCGGAGGGAAACCGAGUCUUAAUUGGGCGUUAAGUUGCAGGGUAUAGACCCGAAACCCGGUGAUCUAGCCAUGGGCAGGUUGAAGGUUGGGUAACACUAACUGGAGGACCGAACCGACUAAUGUUGAAAAAUUAGCGGAUGACCUGUGGCUGGGGGUGAAAGGCCAAUCAAACCGGGAGAUAGCUGGUUCUCCCCGAAAGCUAUUUAGGUAGCGCCUCGUGAAUUCAUCUCCGGGGGUAGAGCACUGUUUCGGCUAGGGGGCCAUCCCGGCUUACCAACCCGAUGCAAACUGCGAAUACCGGAGAAUGUUAUCACGGGAGACACACGGCGGGUGCUAACGUCCGUCGUGAAGAGGGAAACAACCCAGACCGCCAGCUAAGGUCCCAAAGUCAUGGUUAAGUGGGAAACGAUGUGGGAAGGCCCAGACAGCCAGGAUGUUGGCUUAGAAGCAGCCAUCAUUUAAAGAAAGCGUAAUAGCUCACUGGUCGAGUCGGCCUGCGCGGAAGAUGUAACGGGGCUAAACCAUG